AUAAAUGUUUGAACUCAACUGAUGACCCGAUGCGCACGCUUUGCCGUCGACGCACGCAUCCUAUAUUAACGUUGCUACCAGGCGACCCGCUAUCAUUGUCGAUACAACUGUCGUACUGGAAGGACGUGGCCAAGUGAUAUUCAGUGAAAAUGUAUACCAAUCCUUUCGAGCGAAAACACUCGGUUUUGAGGCAAGCACUCGACCGCUUCAUCAAGGGAGAGACGAGAUUGAGUUUUAGGAAGAAAAGUGAUUUCUCAAAGAGCAGCAAAUCGUCGGGAAGCUCUUCUUCAUUCGCUUCUUCCACAACGGAAUGUAAACAGAAAUUGAGCUCCAAGAGGUGAAGAGAACAGUUUCACUAAAGGAACCAGUGAUAACGCUUCGAAAUGGCCCAGUUCCAAGGAGGUCAAUUGCAGUAUUUGGUUCACAGUGGGAUGAAAUCGCUUUAUGGAAGUCUUAAGCUAAUAAGGAAGAGCUAGGCCCACGAUUUUGAUGACUAUUAUUGUAACUAGGAUAGUACAUUACAUAUUGAUAUAAGAAUAUCUUCUUCAUAUUGAAGUGCUUUUAAUGAAUCAUUAAGUCCUCAAAGAUCAUCUUGAUACACUAUUAGAAACGAUAUUAUGGUUAGACUAAGCCAGUGUGAAUAUUUAAGUGCACGAAAAAGCAAACAAAUAAAAGUUAUAUUCACUACUUAUGAUUCGAAUAUAUGUAGAUAAUUUGUACUAUCAAAUAUGCUAAUAAACAAUAUAUAAUUAAUCUUCAAA